rnacentral:rRNA from 1 species
UUCCCAUUCCGAACACGGAAGUCAAGCUCUCUUGCGCCGAUGAUACUGCUUUUUGCGGGAAAGUAGGUAGUUGCCAGGC